UUCCGGUUGAUCCUGCCGGACCUGACUGCUAUCGGAUUGAUACUAAGCCAUGCGAGUCAUUGUAGCAAUACAAGGCAUACGGCUCAGUAACGCGUAGUCAACCUAACCUAUGGACGGAAAUAACCUCGGGAAACUGAGAAUAAUGUCCGAUAGAACACUAUACCUGGAAUGGUUUGUGUUCCAAAUGAUUUAUCGCCGUAGGAUGGGACUGCGGCCUAUCAGUUUGUUGGUGAGGUAAUGGCCCACCAAGACUAUUACAGGUACGGGCUCUGAGAGGAGUAGCCCGGAGAUGGGUACUGAGACACGGACCCAGGCCCUAUGGGGCGCAGCAGGCGAGAAAACUUUGCAAUGUGCGAAAGCACGACAAGGUUAAUCCGAGUGAUUUGUGCUAAACGAAUCUUUUGUUAGUCUUAGAACCACUAACGAAUAAGGGGUGGGCAAGUUCUGGUGUCAGCCGCCGCGGUAAAACCAGCGCCUCAAGUGGUCAGGAUGAUUAUUGGGCCUAAAGCAUCCGUAGCCGGCUCUGUAAGUUUUCGGUUAAAUCUGUACGCUCAACGUACAGGCUGCCGGGAAUACUGCAGAGCUAGGGAGUGGGAGAGGUAGACGGUACUCGGAAGGAAGGGGUAAAAUCCUUUGAUCUUUUGAUGACCACCUGUGGCGAAGGCGGUCUACCAGAACACGUCCGACGGUGAGGGAUGAAAGCUGGGGGAGCAAACCGGAUUAGAUACCCGGGUAGUCCCAGCUGUAAACUAUGCAAACUCAGUGAUGCAUUGACUUAUGGUCAAUGCAGUGCUGCAGGGAAGCCGUUAAGUUUGCCGCCUGGGAAGUACGUACGCAAGUAUGAAACUUAAAGGAAUUGGCGGGGGAGCACCACAAGGGGUGAAGCCUGCGGUUCAAUUGGACUCAACGCCGGA
rnacentral:rRNA from 1 species